rnacentral:rRNA from 1 species
UAAGCGGAGGAAAAGAAACUAACAAGGAUUCCCCUAGUAACGGCGAGUGAAGCGGGAAGAGCUCAAAUUUGAAAUCUGGUGGCCUCAGGUCAUCCGAGUUGUAAUCUAUAGAAGUGUUUUCCGUGCUGGCUCAUGUACAAGUCCCUUGGAACAGGGCGUCAUAGAGGGUGAGAAUCCCGUCCUUGACAUGAACUACCAGUGCUCUGUGAUACAUUUUCAACGAGUCGAGUUGUUUGGGAAUGCAGCUCAAAAUGGGUGGUAAAUUCCAUCUAAAGCUAAAUAUUGGCGAGAGACCGAUAGCGAACAAGUACCGUGAGGGAAAGAUGAAAAGCACUUUGGAAAGAGAGUUAAACAGUAUGUGAAAUUGUUAAAAGGGAAACGAUUGAAGUCAGUCGUGCUCUUUGGAUUCAGCCGGUUCUGCCGGUGUACUUCCUUUGAGUGGGGUCAACAUCAGUUUUGAUCGCUGGAUAAAGGCUGGAGGAACGUAGCACCCUCGGGUGAACUUAUAGCCUCCUGUCACAUACAGUGGUUGGGACUGAGGAACGCAGCACGCCUUUAUGGCCGGGAUUCGUCCACGUACGUGCUUAGGAUGUUGACAUAAUGGCUUUAAACGACCCGUCUUGAAACACG